rnacentral:hammerhead_ribozyme from 1 species
AUCCAGCCGAAUAGUCCCAAUUAGGACGAAACGGGCGUCAAACUGGAU